rnacentral:sRNA from 1 species
AAAAAAAACUGCAUAUACUGAUCAACCUUGGGAUGGCUCAUAACAAAUCAUCAGGUUGGCAAACAUUUGGCUCCGCAGACAUUCCCUGUUUCCCUGUCUUCAGCCACAUGAGCUCGCGGUCAUGACCUGGGUGCUCUAGAGCCACAGUGAAUGCUUUCAGUUUCCCCAGCCAUCCUGAAGAGCAGAGGCUGCGCACACGCAAGAGGGAAUCUUAUAGUUUUCCUUGAGCUCCAAGACUCACGCCACUGUGUUAAGCAUUUGAGGCCAGCAUUCCUAAGGCUAUUUAUGCAUUUCAUGCUGAUUAGUAAUUCCUGGAAUCCAGCUACUUCACACAAGGUGGUGGAAAACCAGCAGCUGUUCAGUGCCUUCAAGGCCUUGCUGGAGGACUUCCGUGCAGAGCUGCGGGAGGACGAGCGUGCCCGACUACGGCUGCAGCAGCAAUAUGCCAGCGACAAGGCGGCCUGGGACGUGGAGUGGGCCGUGCUCAAGUGCCGUCUGGAACAGCUGGAAGAGAAGACUGAGAACAAGUUGGGAGAACUAGGCUCCUCCGCUGAGAGCAAGGGGGCCUUG